CCUACGGGAGGCAGCAGUAGGGAAUCUUCCACAAUGGGCGAAAGCCUGAUGGAGCAACGCCGCGUGGGUGAAGAAGGUCUUCGGAUCGUAAAACCCUGUUGUUAGAGAAGAAAGUGCGUGAGAGUAACUGUUCACGUUUCGACGGUAUCUAACCAGAAAGCCCCGUCUAACUACGUGCCAGCAGCCGCGGUAAUACGUAGGGGGCAAGCGUUAGCCGGAUUUAUUGGGCGAAAAGGGAACGCAGGCGGUCUUUUAAGUCUGAUGUGAAAGCCUACGGCUUAACCGGAGUAGGGCAUUGGAAACUGGAAGACUGGAGUGCAGAAGAGGAGAGUGGAACUCCAUGUGUAGCGGUGAAAUGCGUAGAUAUAUGGAAGAACACCAGUGGCGAAGGCGGCUCUCUGGUCUGUAACUGACGCUGAGGUUCGAAAGCGUGGGUAGCAAACAGGAUUAGAUACCCGGGUAGUC
rnacentral:rRNA from 1 species